GACGUAGGGGGCCAGCGUUGUUCGGAAUUACUGGGUGUAAAGGGUUCGUAGGCGGUGCGGCAAGUUGGGAGUGAAAUCUCUGGGCUUAACCCAGAGGCUGCUUCCAAAACUGCUGUGCUUGAGUGUGGGAGAGGCGCGUGGAAUUGCAGGUGUAGCGGUGAAAUGCGUAGAUAUCUGCAGGAACACCCGUGGCGAAAGCGGCGCGCUGGCCCGAUACUGACGCUGAGGCACGAAAGCGUGGGGAGCAAACAGG
rnacentral:rRNA from 1 species